CCCCCCCCUCGCCGCCCGCCUGGACACCCUCCGGUAUGGCCCCAAGGACGCCCGGCUUCGAGAACUGGCCAAACUGGGAGCGCAGCUGAUGCUGUGCCGGCCUGACGACAUGGCGCUGGUGGAGGGCACGGCCCCCCCCGAGCAGCAGCUGGAGUUCAUCAGGGACCUGCUGGACGCAGCCCCCCCGCCGGAAGACGAAGGCAACGGCUCCCCCAAGAGCAGGUGCAACACCCUGCGCCGCACCGCCCGCUUCCUGCACGAGGUGCUGAAGACCCCCGAAGGGAUGGCAGCCCUGAACCCCCCCUCCCCCUCCUGCGCUGCUUAUCUCUGACGGCUACGAGAGCCCCCCGCCCAGGAGACCCCGUCCCUCGGGGCCGGAGCUGGAUGCAGCGCUGGGGGCGGCGCGGCAGCACCUGGAGCUGCUGGAGGCGCAGAACCCGGAGCUGGGGGGGUCGCCGGGCCCGGGCCCCCCCCCAUCCUGCCCACCCUGAGGGUGGCGGCGGCGCGACCUCGCCGCCCUGGCGGCGGCUUUUGGGACGGUGGAGCUGCAGGACCCCUGGGGGGUCCCUGGGCUCGGGGGCACCCCCCACCCUCGCCCCCUGUGGCCCCCCUGGCCCCCCCAGUCUGUCAGGGCCUGCAGCAACUCGUGCAGAGCCUGGAGGCCGUGGCUCAGCUGGGUGACACGGCUGCAGAGGUGAUGCGGCUGGCGGGGGGGGGCCGGCACCGGGCAAUGGAGACCCGGGUGGCCGCCCUGCAGCAGCGCUUCAAGGACGUCCUCAAAGACGGGGGGCCCCCCAAGGACUGACACCCCCCCCCGCCUGGACGCCUGGGUUCGUUGCACUGCUGCGGGCGGCGGGGGGGGCGGAUUC